rnacentral:rRNA from 1 species
AGUGAACGCUGGCGGUAGGCCUAACACAUGCAAGUCGAACGGCAGCACAGUAAGAGCUUGCUCUUACGGGUGGCGCGUGGCGGACGGGUGAGGAAUACAUCGGAAUCUACUUUUUCGUGGGGGAUAACGUAGGGAAACUUACGCUAAUACCGCAUACGACCUACGGGUGAAAGCAGGGGAUCUUCGGACCUUGCGCGAUUGAAUGAGCCGAUGUCGGAUUAGCUAGUUGGCGGGGUAAAGGCCCACCAAGGCGACGAUCCGUAGCUGGUCUGAGAGGAUGAUCAGCCACACUGGAACUGAGACACGGUCCAGACUCCUACGGGAGGCAGCAGUGGGGAAUAUUGGACAAAGGGCGCAAGCCUGAUCCAGCCAUACCGCGUGGGUGAAGAAGGCCUUCGGGUUGUAAAGCCCUUUUGUUGGGAAAGAAAAGCAGCAGGUUAAUACCCCGCUGUUCUGACGGUACCCAAAGAAUAAGCACCGGCUAACUUCGUG